rnacentral:rRNA from 1 species
GAUGAACGCUGGCGGCGUGCUUAACACAUGCCAGUCGAACGGAAAGGCCCCUUUGGGUGUACUCGAGUGGCGCACGGGUGAGUAUCAUGUGAGUAACCUUCCCCAGACUCUGGGAAAACCUCAGCAAACAGGGGCUAAUUCCGGAAAGGACUCCUUGGUGCACGGUGGGGGUUGGAAAGAUUUGGCGGUGUUGGACGGACUGGCGGCUUAUCAGCUUGUUGGUGGGGUAGAGGCUUACCAGGGCUUCGACGCGUAGCUGGCCUGGGAGGGCGACCGGCCCCAUUGGGACUGAGAUGCGGCCCAGGCUCCUACGGGGGGCAGCAGGGGGGAAUAUUGCACAAUGGGCGGAGGCCGGAUGCAGCAGCGCCGCGGGCGGGAUGGCGGCCUUCGGGUUGUAAACCGCUUGCAGCAGGGGCGAAGCUUGUGGUGACGGUACCUGCAGAAGAAGCACCGGCUAACUACGUG